GACGAACGCGGGCGGCGUGCCUAAUACAUGCAAGUAGGACGCACAGCCUAUACCGUAGCUUGCUACACCAUAGGCUGUGAGUUGCGAACGGGUGAGUAACGCGUAGGUAACCUGCCUAUUAGAGGGGGAUAACUAUUGGAAACGAUAGCUAAUACCGCAUAACAGUAUGUAACACAUGUUAGAUGCUUGAAAGAUGCAAUUGCAUCGCUAGUAGAUGGACCUGCGUUGUAUUAGCUAGUAGGUAGGGUAAUGGCCUACCUAGGCAACGAUACAUAGCUGACCUGAGAGGGUGAUCGGCCACACUGGGACUGAGACACGGCCCAGACUCCUACGGGAGGCAGCAGUAGGGAAUCUUCGGCAAUGGGGGGAACCCUGACCGAGCAACGCCGCGUGAGUGAAGGAGGUUUUCGGAUCGUAAAGCUCUGUUGUUAAGGAAGAACGAGUGUGAGAAUGGAAAGUUCAUACUGUGACGGACUAACCAGA
rnacentral:rRNA from 1 species